ACACACACGGCGCGCUUCGGUCUGUCACUAGUUUCUAUUUCCGCUCCGUUGUUGUUGUUUUUAUUAUCAUUAUUAUGCACUUUCACUACUUGUGUAUUUACACAGAAGUCCAUGCACUGAGCAAAACAGUGUAAAUGCAACCGACUCCCCACAGUUUUUACAGCCUACAGUUCUACAGGAAAGUGUGGUGGAUGUAGGAGUGUUGGGUCAGAGGCUGAUGAAAAACCAACUCAUGAAGGUUUGGGAGAAAAAACUAGCCAUUGAUCGUCAAACAUCUAAAAAAAGUGCAGUUACUAUGAUUGCAUAUAUUAAAGUUGCUGCAUUUAAAAUGCUUUUAGCUGGACUCUGAGUAGUGCAGUGGUAAAGUGCUCCCUAGUUCGGUUCCCUGGUGAUGCUGUAACCUCUCGCAGCCAGAGAUCCAGACAGAGCUGAUCGGCCGAGCUCGCUCAGCGGGGAGGGAUGAGAGACCUGCAGGAGUUUGAAGGAGGAUGCAUGUUUUUCAGUGAGCAGCUUGAAGUUUCAUCCAUCUCCCUCCUAAUCCCCUCUUCAACUGCUGUCUUGAACCUCAUCAAGAUGGGAGAUCAUUCCUGGUGUGCUUGUCUAGUCUGUUAAUGUUAAGCCUUACAGAAGUUUAUAUGUAAAUAGUUGCAUACCGCUGACUGUUGUAACUCACAUGUAUGCCUCUUAACCUUAUUGGUUCCAUCACAAUUUUUACUGAUUAAUUUUCCAGGAUACUUGCUGUACCUGGGCUUAUGUAGACCUGCUGCAUCUGAAAAUACAAUUAAGUGCUAGAUGUAUUCUUGUUGCUAAUAUACUUGUAACUGGAGUAAACUACCGUGCUCUUGCAGCAGAGGAGACGUUAAUGGCAAUCCUCUGAUUCUGUGGCAUGUGCACACCUUUUAUCAUACAACGGCAAAGAUCUAAACACUAGUCAACUUAAUGUAAAGGAAAUUACAGCUGAAAAGAGCCUUAAAACGUAGGAAAAAAUCUGUUCUGCUUUACAAUGAUAUUAAGCAUGUUAAAAGACCCCCCUUACGUGCAGAUGCUAAUGAAGGAUUCAUGAAACGGUGCAGGGUUAACCUCUGACUCUACUGUAUAGGCCUUCAAUAAGAGUGUACCAUGUUCUCACAGUGUAGUGCAUAAUCCCUACGGAACAUCUUUGGUCAUACAUGUACUGUAACCUUUAUCAUGCAUUGUUACCUUUUUAUUCACUGGCUUUUAUAGUUAAGGGACUUAAGUCUAGAAGUUGGGUCUUUUAACCAUCAUAUACUGAGAAGUUGGUCUCAACGAACCGCUGAAACUUGGAGUCAUAUUUAGGGCCUUUGCUGUUGUGUAAGAAAGACAAAACCAAGGAUCAUUUUACUUUUAUAUAAUGAAUUUAUUGAAUUAAUUUAAAAGAAAUAGGUUUUAAAAACCUUCAUGAGUGAUUUAAACUUUAAAACAUUUAAAUUACCCAACAUCUUUGUAUGAAAAAACCCAACAUGUCCGUAAAAGACCCUUUAACCAUUUAAGCAGGAUAAUUAUAAAUAUUUGUUAUGAAUGUAUGCAAAACCCAAUAUGGUCAAAGCCAACUUGCCCAGACCCAUAUUGCAAGACCCAAUAUGUUUUUCCUCAGACAUCGAGUUUUACAUACAUCUUAAACAUUUACAGUAAUCACUACCUGCACCAUACAGAUAUUAAUACAUGCAGUUAUCCUGGUUUUCUUACCUGAUCGCUGACAGAUUCUCCCUCCGUCGUUCAAUUAAAAGUUCAGAUUGGCUGGAGGGUCUGUCUACCACGCCUUUCCUACAUGUGCUUGUAUUGUGAUCAUGCCUCUAAAAGUCAAAAGCUUUUGUUCAGGCCUGGAUGCGUUUGGAUUCUUUUUUAAGAUAUUUUUAUGGCCUCUAUCCCUUCCUGGGUAUCAAUAUUAGUCAGAAAAAUGAUAUAAUGAUCCGGUUCAUUGUCAUGUCACUGGUUACGCAUGCGGAAGGGCUGUCCUCUGAGUUGGAUGGUUCCUCCAAUGUUUUUGUGAAAUAUAGCUUCACCUUAAAGUUUGUGGAAAAUAAUCUGUUCCCCACUGAUCCAGGGAUAAGGAAUGUGUUUACCCAGAAGUAAAACAUCUUAGUCCUUCUCAUCUUGCUCUGUUUUUGAUAGAAUUCCACUUUGAUAUCUCCACAUACUGGAAGUGGUUGUCUUCCCGCCGUGUGUGCUGGAUUAGCAUAUGUAUUUUGACCUUUAGUUGGUAGACAACAAAAUGAGGGGUUCAGUUCCCACCACCGAACAUGGGCAGUUUCAAACAUCAUCUUGUGGAAGAGUAGAGCCACCGGUUUAUAGUCCAGAUGUUUUUUGAGCAGGUAGAUGUACUAAUAGAGGUAUCGCACAUCUUGCCUCUGUUGCUGAGAUCCAGCUAAAAGCUUUUUAAAUGCAGCAACUUUAACAUAUGCCAUCAUAGCAGUUGUGCUCUUUUUUUAGAUGUCUGACGAUCUAUGGCUAGUUUUACAUCCAUCACUUGAACCCCACACAAUUUUUUAAAUACAUUUUUUUAUUCACAUCAGUAAGAAUAAUAAAAUCUUUAGGAAAGACCUAAUAAAACCCGAGUCCUAUCUGGCAAGUUUGGCGGCCCACUUUAAACACUCACCCCUGAAAGGACAAGGGUUUCUGUGGGGCAAUGGGGAGUCAGGGUCUGCCCACUCCUGAGAUCCAGCUAAAAGCUUUUUUAAUGCAGCAACUUUAACAUAUGCCAUCAUAGCAGUUGUGCUCUUUUUUUAGAUGUCUGACGAUCUAUGGCUAGUUUAACAUCCAUCACUGGAACUGAGAUCCAGCUAAAAGCUUUUUUAAUGCAGCAACUUUAACAUAUGCCAUCAUAGCAGUUGUGCUCUUUUUUUAGAUGUUUGACGAUCUAUGGCUAGUUUAACAUCCAUCACUGGAACUGAGAUCCAGCUAAAAGCUUUUUUAAUGCAGCAACUUUAAUAUACGCUAUUGUUUUUAAAAGUGUUUGUGCUCUUUCUUAGAUUUUUGUCUGUCAGUGGUUAUAUUUGCUCCCAAACAUACAUCAGCUAAUGUGCAUUGCAACCUGGUCAUGCCUUGUUAACUUCUUAUUCACAUUUUUUCACUGGCUUUUAUAGUUAAGGGACUUAAGUCUAGAAGUUGGGUCUUUGAACCAUCAUAUACUGAGAAGUUGGUCUCAACGAACUGCUGAAACUUGGAGUCAUAUUUAAUUCAAUUCAAUUUUAUUUGUAUAGAGCUUUUAACAAUUGUCAUUGUCACAAAGCAGCUUUACACAAUCGAAAGAAUUAUUUAAGUUUGUAUGGAAUGUGAUUGAUUAUUUUUAAACAAAUGUUUUCUGCAAAGUAACAGAUCCUUUCUUGGUGCUUGUUGUAUUUCAAUUUAAGAAAUAUGAAUUCAUUUGCUGAUUCACAACAGUCACAUAAAUGGUCACACUACAUUUUCUUGUUAAAUGUUUUACUAUACUGUACAGACACUAAGCUUAAAUGGCUACACUAGUUUUUUUUUGUUGUUUGUAUUUUUUCUUCUUUAAUACAGGCGUAUUCAUUAGAACAAGUUAUUACACAGAUAUAUUCAGACGAGUUGUUUUUUCUAUCAUGUUUUAUGUAAGAAAACCAAUUUUGUUGGUCAUCCAAAAAAUCAUUUUUAUUUAAAAAAAUAUCAUUAUUGGA